GGAUGCUUUCUGAGUAACCAGACUAAGAAUGAAGAAGUUCAUCAACAACAGUAGCAGCAGAACUGACAUAAACUUACACUGGAAGCUUGGAAGAUACCCCAGGAUAAAAAGGAGUGAGAACACUCAUCAUUGCAUUCAACCAAUAAGAAUCCAGACACCACAGCAGAAUUGUAGAGAAGCCAAUUCAUGGGAUAAACUCCUGAAGCUGCCAAGACUCAUUUUGUGAAGACCCCCUAUAGUUCCAUCACUUUCACUGUCUAUGGCAUUGAAGCUUCCUCCUUCCUUCGAAACAGAAGGAUUUGCGUAGCCUCUGCACCUUCACAGAAGCAGUCCAUAAACACCAGCACGUGGGAUGCAGUGAACUUCAACUCCACCCCCAGGAUCUCACCGCUCCGCCCCCUUCCCGACCUCGCACUCAACUCGCAUGCGUCACCGAGACCUCGCUCUGGAGAUUGGUCGAAAGGCUACCUCUUACCUGCUGC